GGUAAUACAGAGGUCUCAAGCGUUGUUCGGAAUCACUGGGCGUAAAGCGUGCGUAGGCUGUUUCGUAAGUCGUGUGUGAAAGGCGCGGGCUCAACCCGCGGACGGCACAUGAUACUGCGAGACUAGAGUAAUGGAGGGGGAACCGGAAUUCUCGGUGUAGCAGUGAAAUGCGUAGAUAUCGAGAGGAACACUCGUGGCGAAGGCGGGUUCCUGGACAUUAACUGACGCUGAGGCACGAAGGCCAGGGGAGCGAAAGGGAUUAGAUACCCCUGUAGUCCUGGCAGUAAACGGUGCACGCUUGGUGUGCGGGGAAUCGACCCCCUGCGUGCCGGAGCUAACGCGUUAAGCGUGCCGCCUGGGGAGUACGGUCGCAAGAUUAAAACUCAAAGAAAUUGACGGGGACCCGCACAAGCGGUGGAGUAUGUGGCUUAAUUCGAUGCAACGCGAAGAACCUUACCUGGGCUUGACAUGUAAUGAACAACAUGUGAAAGCAUGCGACUCUUCGGAGGCGUUACACAGGUGCUGCAUGGCCGUCGUCAGCUCGUGUCGUGAGAUGUUUGGUUAAGUCCAGCAACGAGCGCAACCCCUGUUGCCAGUUACCAGCACGUGAAGGUGGGGACUCUGGCGAGACUGCCCAGAUCAACUGGGAGGAAGGUGGGGACGACGUCAGGUCAGUAUGGCCCUUAUGCCCAGGGCUGCACACGUACUACAAUGCCCAGUACAGAGGGGGCCGAAGCCGCGAGGCGGAGGAAAUCCUAAAAACUGGGCCCAGUUCGGACUGUAGGCUGCAACCCGCCUACACGAAGCCGGAAUCGCUAGUAAUGGCGCAUCAGCUACGGCGCCGUGAAUACGUUCCCGGGUCUUGUACACACC
rnacentral:rRNA from 1 species